rnacentral:rRNA from 1 species
AUUGAACGCUGGCGGCAUGCCUUACACAUGCAAGUCGAACGGCAGCACGGGAGCAAUCCUGGUGGCGAGUGGCGAACGGGUGAGUAAUAUAUCGGAACGUGCCCAGUCGUGGGGGAUAACGUAGCGAAAGCUACGCUAAUACCGCAUACGAUCUAUGGAUGAAAGCGGGGGAUCGCAAGACCUCGCGCGAUUGGAGCGGCCGAUAUCAGAUUAGGUAGUUGGUGAGGUAAAGGCUCACCAAGCCGACGAUCUGUAGCUGGUCUGAGAGGACGACCAGCCACACUGGGACUGAGACACGGCCCAGACUCCUACGGGAGGCAGCA